rnacentral:rRNA from 1 species
UCAGCAGUCAAGAAUAUUAGUCAAUGCUCGCAAGAGUGAACUAGCUAACUGAAAUCAUAAAAUCAUUAAUAGUGGUAAUAUGAUAACGUAAGGGAAAAAAAUGAUAUCACCUUACUAUUAGUGUUGUCCAAAGCUGGUGCCAGAAGACUCGGUAAGGCCAGAGACGCGAACGUUAAUCGUCCUAAUCAGGCGUAAAGGGUAUGUAGGCUGCUUUGAAAGUUUUAUUUAUAAUAGCUCUUUUUAAUUACUAUAAACGAAAGUCUUCCCCUCACUGAUACUUCGUAUUACUAUCGCAGCAAAAGGUGAUUAAGGCUAACGUAAAGUAAAAUAAAAAGAUAAUAUAAAAUUAAUUAAAGCUAGAAUCAAGAAGAGGAUAAACCAAAUAAUACUUAGAGUAGGGAUGAUAUCUUUAGAUACUAAGGGGAAUACUAACGGUGAAAGCUUUUUAUCUAUUAAUGAUUGACGCUGAGAAACGAAGGUGAGAAUAGGAAAUAGGAUUAGAUACCCAGAUACCUCUCACUGUAAACGAUGAAUGGUGGUUGUUAGGAAUAAUAAAACUAGUAACGAUGUUAACACGAUAACCAUUCCGCCUUGCGAGUACGGUUGCAAAACUGAAACCAAAAAAAUUAGUCGGUCUCGGAGCAAACGAAGUGAAGCAUGUUAUUUAAUU